CAUGUGAAGUUUUAAGAUUACAAUCCAGAUGUGAUUAAAAUUUGAAUCUCUAGAAACAGAAAGUGAACAUUCUUAUGUACAAGAAUUUAGUGUAAUUGGGAGGAGGAGGAAAGGAUUUAAAAGCUCUUAUUCAAUUGUGUUUUAGAAUGAAAACUUUUUACACUGUAGAAACUGAAAAUCCUCCUUCCACAAGUUCAGCUGGAUUUGUUGAGUAUCAGUGGCACACUCAGGAUUUACUGUUGGGAGCCAAGUUGAAUUGAAAAAAAUUUUUAAUAUAAAUUCAAUAAAAUACCUUAUGUAGUAUAGAAAUUGAACACAUCAUAGAAUAUAAGUAAAAAAAAACUUUUAAUUGAGAAAGGAUUAUUGGAAAAUUUUCUAUUUACUUUUUUUUUCUUUGAAGGAGGCUCCCUUCAAAGGGCCGCAUAGUCCCCCAGGGUGAACUACUGUUAGUAGUAAUGUUUAUUCUCUAUUUAUUAUGAUUUUAAAUGAAUUGAUUUUCUUUUCAGAUUAAUCUUCUAAAAGCAAAUGGCAGUGGAGGAAAGUACCUAAUAGCAAUAACUGAUCAAGUAGGCAAAGGGCCAGCCUUCAGAGUGGACGGGGGAUACAUCAAUCCGGAUGACAUCAAAUCCUACAAGCACAGAUGCUUGCUCUUUAGUAUCCUGAAUGCAGCCAGACAGAUGUCCUAUUUACCAAUUUCAUCAUACCAAUUGUAUCUCCUGAAGGUGUUAUACCUCUUUGAGUUGCGCAAGAUUGAAGCAUCUGAAUUGUGUACCGUCUAUCGGAAAGCAACAAAAUUAUGUACGGAAUGUUCAGUUCUAUUGCAUGAAAUAAGCAGUCCAGAGCAAAUGAUGACUUUUCGAGCAGUUUUUUGUCUGAUAGAUUUUAUUGGCAGAAAACUGAAGACUGGAAACAAAAAUAGCAGAGUUAUUGAAAGAAGGAUCGAGGCUUUUUAGGCCAAUCCAGGAAAGAUUCAUUUUCCAAAUCCAGAAACCUUCCUCGACAGUUAAAACCAAACUCAUUUAUCAGGUUGCAUUGGUACAUUGUGGUAAACUAAAUUUACAAUGCAAUAAAAGUAGUCUCAGCUUUUUCAAAUGUCUUCUGACACG